UCGAGAAUAUUCCACAAUGGGCGAAAGCCUGAUGGAGCGACGCCGCGUGGAGGAUGAAGCAUCUAGGUGUGUAAACUCCUUUUCUACGGGAGAAAGCGCCUUAUGGCGUGUGAUAGUACCGUAGGAAUAAGUGGCUGCAAACUUCGUGCC
rnacentral:rRNA from 1 species